rnacentral:misc_RNA from 1 species
AUUCAUGCUGAUUCAAUACACAUUCGUGUCAGUAUGAUCGUUCAUGCUCGCUAUCGACUAACUCUCGAACUCUAACUUAAUGCAGUAAACGAACUUUGAAAUAUAACGACGCUUCAAAAAAAAAGAAAAAAAAAAACAAAAUAGGAGCGCACUUAGAUUUGUUUAAAAAUUCGUGUUUAAUUGGUGAAAUUCUACUACAAACUAGUAGAAAAAUGAUUAAAGUUAGGCACGUUGCUGGGGAUGGACACUCGAAUUUCCUGACUUGGCAUUUUCUCGAGAUAGAGGAGGUGCAGAAAAUAAAUCCCUUCAAGUUCUGGCGGAGAAGCAAUAGAGCAAAUUGAUUCGCCGUUUUCACUAAUUAACUUCAAUAAUCAGCAUCCUUCCUCUUUCACACCACCAUAUUCUUUGAUGACAGACAAUAUACUCUCGAUUGUUCCAAAAAUCUGAUAAAAGAUAAACAGUUGGAAAAUUAUUCGAUAUGAAACACAGGUCUUUUAAUCCAAUAUCAUUUCAUCCAUUUACUCAUAAAAGUCAAUAAACAGAAAAGUUCUAUCAUCCAAAAUCUAUUUAUUCCAUUUGGUACGGAAAGACUGGAAUAUUUUUAUUCUGUUUCAUGACGGAAGAAAGAAAAAAGUAAAUAUUUAAAACAACUUAAAUUGUAGAGUACAGUAAAUUUUCAUCUAUAAAAUCUGCCACAUAGAUCUAUGAGUGUUCCGUCAAGUUACUUAAUUUAAGUAAAUGAACUAAAAAUGCGGAACAUUAAAUCAUUGAAACGUUUUAAUGGAAACAUUUUAACUUUUACUUGAAACUGUAGAAACUCGACUGGAAUAGAAUCCAAUUGGAAAAAUAAAUAGGACUAAAAAAAUUAGAGUGCAUACGAUUUCCAAGUAAUAUUGAAUUGGUUAUGUAUCAAAUGGGAACCUAAGCAAGGAUCUACUGUUAAAUUAUAGAUUAGAUCUUGCAUUUUGUUUUGUAAUCCGGCAAAGAAAUAUGUAAGCAGUUGAAACGCGUCUAGCGAAAUAUACAUUCUGCAUUUUGUACGUUUUGUACUUGUACAUUUUGUAUACUUUAAAAUAUCUUCGUUCGAAAUGAAACAAAACAUAAGAAAAAUAAACACAACAAGCAACAUAAAGUGCAGGAAAUUAACUAUCGUAUGAUGAAGUAUGAAACAGCUAGGCCUUAAAAUUGACGUAAAAAAAUAAAUGAUAGCGUUUAUAUAAAUGUUUGAACUCAAAGUUCGUCAUUUCUACUUCUCACUGAUAAUUGUCCAGCCGCUAAUUCUUCUCGUUAAUUAGGGGAA